CCUACGGGGGGCUGCAGUCGAGAAUUUUUGGCAAUGGGCGAAAGCCUGACCAAGCGAUGCCGCGUGCGGGAUGAAGGCCUUCGGGUUGUAAACCGCUGUCAGUGGGGAGGAAAGCUUUGUGAAGAGCAAGGCUUGACCUAUCCGCAGAGGAAGUGUGGGCUAAGUUCGUGCCAGCAGCCGCGGUAAGACGAACCACACAAAGGAUAUACGGAAUUUCUGGGCUUAAAGGGUGCGGCAGUUGCGCGGUAAGGAAAUACCUCGGCUCAACCGAGGAACUGCGCCCAGAACUACUGUGCUUGAGGAAGAUAGAGGUAAGCGGAACUUACGGUGGAGCGGUGAAAUGCGUUGAUAUCGUAAGGAACACCUGUGGCGAAAGCGGCUUACUGGGUCUUUUCUGACGCUGAUGCACGAAAGCUAGGGGAGCAAACGGGAUUAGAUACCCCAGUAGUC
rnacentral:rRNA from 1 species